rnacentral:rRNA from 1 species
CAGAGUUUGAUCCUGGCUCAGAGCGAACGCUGGCGGCAGGCUUAACACAUGCAAGUCGAACGGGCGUAGCAAUACGUCAGUGGCAGACGGGUGAGUAACGCGUGGGAACGUACCUUUUGGUUCGGAACAACACAGGGAAACUUGUGCUAAUACCGGAUAAGCCCUUACGGGGAAAGAUUUAUCGCCGAAAGAUCGGCCCGCGUCUGAUUAGCUAGUUGGUGAGGUAAUGGCUCACCAAGGCGACGAUCAGUAGCUGGUCUGAGAGGAUGUCCAGCCACACUGGGACUGAGACACGGCCCAGACUCCUACGGGAGGCAGCAGUGGGGAAUCUUGCACAAUGGGCGAAAGCCUGAUGCAGCGACGCCGCGUGCGGGAUGAAGGCCCUCGGGUCGUAAACCGCUUUCAGCAGGGAAGAUAAUGACGGUACCUGCAGAAGAAGCUCCGGCUAACUUCGUGCCAGCAGCCGCGGUAAUA